UUGAACGCUGGCGGCAUGCCUUACACAUGCAAGUCGAACGGUAACAGGUCUUCGGAUGCUGACGAGUGGCGAACGGGUGAGUAAUACAUCGGAACGUGCCCGAUCGUGGGGGAUAACGAGGCGAAAGCUUUGCUAAUACCGCAUACGAUCUACGGAUGAAAGCGGGGGAUCUUCGGACCUCGCGCGGACGGAGCGGCCGAUGGCAGAUUAGGUAGUUGGUGGGAUAAAAGCUUACCAAGCCGACGAUCUGUAGCUGGGCUGAGAGGAUGAUCAGCCACACUGGGACUGAGACACGGCCCAGACUCCUACGGGAGGCAGCAGUGGGGAAUUUUGGACAAUGGGCGAAAGCCUGAUCCAGCCAUGCCGCGUGCAGGAUGAAGGCCUUCGGGUUGUAAACUGCUUUUGUACGGAACGAAAAGCCUCUUUCUAAUAAAGAGGGGUCAUGACGGUACCGUAAGAAUAAGCACCGGCUAACUGCGU
rnacentral:rRNA from 1 species